AGUGGAAUUGCUAGAUUAUAUAGAAAUUCUAUGUUGUUUAACAUUUUGAGAAACUGCCAGACUAUUUUCCAAAGUAGUCCCACAAUUUUAUGUUCCCACAAGCAAU
rnacentral:pre_miRNA from 1 species